rnacentral:tRNA from 1 species
GUCUAUAUAGAUUAUAUUAAAUCGUGAUGCUGUUAACUUCAAGAAGGAUUUUGUUCUAUAGUCG